GAGGGUAGAGCUCAGUGGUAGAGUGCAUACCUAGCAUGCAUGGGAUCCUGAGUUCAAUCCCCAGUACCUCUA
rnacentral:tRNA from 1 species